CACCACUUUCUGCUGAUGGAGGACGGCAAGUUUUCACAGUCGCUCAGUGAUCGACUUUUUGAGAAGCAUACCAGCAGUCUUCCGUAGUUUCCUCUAGCUUCUGUAGCUCCUCCCCUUCCUCCUCACUGAGCUGGGCAACAGGCUGCUCAACUGUCUGGAGCUGCGCUACAAGGUGGUCUGGCCUCUCAACAUCAUCAUCACAGACAGCUGCAUAAACCAGUACAACCGCCUCUUCUCCUUCCAGCUGCAGCUCAAACACAUGGUCUGGAGCCUCAGAGACGUCUGGUUCCACCUCAAGAGAACUGAAAGCGGUUGAUGAACAUCAUCCACAGCAUCUUCAGCUUCAUCCAGUCCAGCCAGCAGGGAGUCAUACAACACCUUCAAGUAUUACUCGCAUUUCCUUUUCGAAGGUGAGCAGGGGAAACUUUGGAAAUGACUCGGGUGGCGGGGCUCUCCCUUAGCGAUAGUGUGAGAAGCUCUGUCAUUUGGGAGGAGCUCAAAGUAAAGCCGCUGCUCCUCCAUAUCGAGAGGAGCCAGAUGAAGUGGUUCUGGCAUCUGGUCAGGAUGCCCGUGUUUAGGCAUCCAUGGGGAGGUGUUUAGGGCACGUCAGACAGGUAGGAAGCCACGGGGAAGACUCAGGACUAUAUGUUUCCCGGCUGGCUUGGGAACGCCUCGGGAUGAGCUGGACGAAGUGGCUGGGAGAGGGAAGUCUGGGCUUCCCUGCUUAGGCUGCUGCCCCCGCGAACCGACCUCGGAUAAGCGGAAGAAGAUGAAUGGUAAUGUAUAGUAUUUGUACAUAAUUAAUGGGACAAUUAAAUAUCAAUGAUCCUGCAUGCUUUUAUUUUGUGCAUCACAUGACUGUAAUUACAACGGAACAUACUGAGCUUGUUGUUGUUUGUACAUUUGCGCACAAACAAAAAAUUUAACACGCAAAAAGAAGCAAUUCUUAUUUUCACCGCUUCAUGCGAAAAAGCCAGACUGCGUCCUGUAGUCACGCGAGGGGCUUUUGACCAAUCAUCUAGGAGAUUGUCUGGCCAUACUCUUUCUGAUCGCUCAAAAGCCCCUCAAGUGAUUACGGGGCGACCUUGUUUGGGACCAACUCUGAAACCGAGGUGUCCAUACUCUAUACACGCCUCUGGAAAAAGCCCAUAUGCACGGUAUGAUACGAAAAACUUUUGAAGAAUAGGUGCCUCUGACUAGCCCAGAUAUAAACAUAAUUGGUGUAAUUUACAACAACUUGUGUUCAUACUGUAGCCUUCUCACAGCGAGAUUUGAGUUUCAUGUGAAAAUUAUGUAAUUUUGUUUAAUGCAACUCACUUGGCAACUCAAUGUAUUAUUACAAUACAGACGAGGACUGAUCACAUGCAUUGGACAAAAAGUUAACUUUGUGUCCUUGCCUCAAUAUUUUUUUACAUUGUUGAAAUCAAACGUUGGGGGAAAAAAGGCUGAUUUCGCCGAACCCAAAUGUGUGGGAAAUGUUUGGAAAUGUCUCUAAUGGGCACUACAUUCAAUCUGAAGAGUAAAAGUUGGCACUUUGUUAUGUGAACUGUUACCCAGCAUCACUUAUGUGUGUUACUAAAGUAUCCACAGCCUGCAGAAAUGUGCAGACAACAGCUAUGGAGUCCGUGGGGCACCGCACCGUUGAUCAAAAUCUGUUUUGAUGCAACUCAACUUUGCCGGGAAAAAGAGCGCAAGGCUGGUUCUUGUGCGUACUCAAGUUUGAUACAUGAGGGCCUAUAGCACGGGGGUCAGCAACCAGCGGCGCUCGAGCCGCAAGCGGCUCUUUAGUGCCACCCUAGUGGCUCCAUGCAGCAUUUUUAAAAAAGGAUUGAAAUUGGAAAAAGAUGGGGGAAUUUCUUUUUUUUGUUUUAGAUAUUUUUUGUUUGAGGACAAAAAUUUCACAAACCUUCCCAAUUGUUAGAAAGCCCACUGUUUAAUAUGUUUGUGUGUAUGCAUUACUGAUGAGAGUAUUUGGUGAACAUCGUUUUGUUCUACUAAUUUCGGCGGUUCUUGAACUCACCAUAGUGUGGACUGUGACGCAACAGUUUGUUUACGUAUAAAAUCUUCCACUCCUUUGUCUCAUUUGGUCCAUCAAACGUUUUAUGCUGUGCGUGAAUGCACAAAGGUGGAGCGCUUUGUUGAUGUUAUUGACUUGGAGUGCUAAUCAGGCAUAUUUGAUCAGUGCAUGACUGCAAGCUAAUCAAUGCUAACAUGCUAUUUAGGCUAGCUGUAUGUACAUAUUGCAUCAUUAUGCCUCAUUUGUAGGUAUAUUUGAGCUCAUUUAAUAUCCUUUACUUGUAUCCUCUUUGUAUAUAAUUUAGUUUUGAAUGUCUCAUGACACAUUAUCUGUAUGUAAUAUUGGCUGCAUUUUAGAUAGUUGUUAGUGUGCCAUGUUGUUC